GUGUCGGUGGUGUAACGGCUCAGCAUGCGCUCCAGGAAAGAGCAAAAUCAGAGUUCAAAUCCCGGCUGACGCA